GGGGAAUAUUGGACAAUGGGCGGAAGCCUGAUCCAGCCAUGCCGCGUGUGUGAAGAAGGCCUUUUGGUUGUAAAGCACUUUAAGCGAGGAGGAGGCUACUAGUACUAAUACUACUGGAUAGUGGACGUUACUCGCAGAAUAAGCACCGGCUAACUCUGUGCCAGCAGCCGCGGUAAUACAGAGGGUGCGAGCGUUAAUCGGAUUUACUGGGCGUAAAGGGUGCGUAGGUGGUUUCUUAAGUCAGGAGUGAAAGGCUACGGCUCAACCGUAGUAAGCUCUUGAAACUGGGAAACUUGAGUGCAGGAGAGGAAAGUGGAAUUCCUAGUGUAGCGGUGAAAUGCGUAGAUAUUAGGAGGAACACCGAUGGCGAAGGCAGCCAUCUGGCCUAAUACUGACGCUGAGGUACGAAAGCAUGGGGAGCAAACA
rnacentral:rRNA from 1 species